AUGGUGUCGCUGAAGCUGCAGAAGCGCCUGGCCUCGAGCGUCCUCAAGUGCGGCAAGGGCAAGGUCUGGCUCGACCCCAAUGAGGUCAACGAGAUCUCCAUGGCCAACUCCCGGCAGAACAUCCGGAAGCUGGUAAAGGAUGGUUUCAUCAUCAGGAAGCCUCAGAAGAUCCACUCCAGGUCUCGUGCAAGGAGGGCACAUGAGGCCAAGCAGAAGGGCCGUCACUCUGGAUAUGGUAAGCGUAGGGGUACCAGGGAGGCUAGGCUCCCCACCAAGAUCCUGUGGAUGCGGAGGAUGCGCGUCCUGAGGCGCCUUCUGCGCAAGUACCGUGAGGCCAAGAAGAUCGACAAGCACAUGUACCAUGACAUGUACCUGAAGGUCAAGGGUAACAUGUUCAAGAACAAGAGGGUCCUCAUGGAGAGUAUCCACAAGUCCAAGGCUGAGAAGGCAAGAGAGAAGACCCUCUCUGAUCAGUUUGAGGCCAAGCGCGCCAAGAGCAAGGCAAGCAGGGAGAGGAAGCAUGCCAGGAGGGAGGAGAGAUUGGCUCAGGGCCCCAGAGAUCAUGCACCAGCACCAGCGGCUGCAGCUCCAGCUCCAGCAGCAGCGGCACCAAAGAAGGCCAAGGCCAAGAAGUGA
rnacentral:rRNA from 1 species